AUUUUAAUAAACAGCUUUUAACAUAGGAUUUUUUAUUUCAGAAGGUGUGUCCCUAACACAAUGUCCACUACGAAACGAAGUCAUUUAAACUUGCUAAUAAACAGUUUUAUAAAAUCAAUGUAAUUUUUUGUUUGCAAGAGAUAUAAACAUUAGGGUCUUACAAAAGAAGUGAUGCUUUUAUAACGGCAAUUAAAUUGUUGGUAAGAAAAAUUGAGCACAUCAAAUGGACCAGAGUGAUACCGUAUUUUUGUAAAUGUCCACUACGAAACGGGUCAAAUCUCCUUCAGUAACUGGUUUUGAAAUUAUGAAAAAAAUAUCAGUGUACAGCUUAAUAAUGCUUUGAUGAAUACAGUCAGUCUUGUUACUAUUGCAAUAUAGGGGUUGUGAGAAAAAAAUAAAACAUGUGAAUAUGUCCCCUACGAAACGGUCACCUACGAAACAAGUUUGGGAGAAAAACGUUUCGUAGUGGACACUACCACUACCAUGCAGUCUUUUUUUACUCUUUUUUCAAUUAUAUUCGUGCAAAGCAAAUAACAAAGGUUAGUUUCAUGUAAUUUUUAUUAUGUUUUUAUUAACAUAGAAUAGGGUUGAUGUCAACUACGAAACUUUUUGUCCACUACG
rnacentral:lncRNA from 1 species